UGGCAUUCAACCCCAUGCUUCAGAAUAUGUC
rnacentral:piRNA from 1 species